UGGGGAAUUUUGGACAAUGGGCGAAAGCCUGAUCCAGCAAUGCCGCGUGUGUGAAGAAGGCCUUCGGGUUGUAAAGCACUUUUGUCCGGAAAGAAAUCCUUGGCUCUAAUACAGUCGGGGGAUGACGGUACCGGAAGAAUAAGCACCGGCUAACUACGUGCCAGCAGCCGCGGUAAUACGUAGGGUGCAAGCGUUAAUCGGAAUUACUGGGCGUAAAGCGUGCGCAGGCGGUUUGCUAAGACCGAUGUGAAAUCCCCGGGCUCAACCUGGGAACUGCAUUGGUGACUGGCAGGCUAGAGUAUGGCAGAGGGGGGUAGAAUUCCACGUGUAGCAGUGAAAUGCGUAGAGAUGUGGAGGAAUACCGAUGGCGAAGGCAGCCCCCUGGGCCAAUACUGACGCUCAUGCACGAAAGCGUGGGGAGCAAACAGGAUUAGAUACCCUGGUAGUCCACGCCCUAAACGAUGUCAACUAGUUGUUGGGGAUUCAUUUCCUUAGUAACGUAGCUAACGCGUGAAGUUGACCGCCUGGGGAGUACGGUCGCAAGAUUAAAAGUCAAAUGAAUUGACGGGGUCAUAGCUG
rnacentral:rRNA from 1 species